CUCAAAUCAGGUAGGACUACCCGCUGAACUUAAGCAUAUCAAUAAGCGGAGGAAAAGAAACUAACAAGGAUUCCCCUAGUAACUGCGAGUGAAGCGGGAAGAGCUCAAAUUUAAAAUCUGGCGGCGUUAGCCGUCCGAGUUGUAAUCUGGAGAAGUGUUUUCCGCGA
rnacentral:rRNA from 1 species